rnacentral:snoRNA from 1 species
UUUUUAUGAUGAAUUAUUAUUUUGUCAGUUCUGCUACUGAAUAUAAAUUGAAGAUAAUGAUAUUCUGAUAAAA